AGGCUCACUCAUCACCUGGGCUGUCUGAAAUGUAGACUGGCCUCUGAGGCUUUGGGAAAUGCAAGGUGAGCAACUUGGCACUUCCAUGUUCAAGCAGGACAUCGAUCCAGCCCCCUCUGAAUAUGAAAAAGUGAGGAAAGGAGAAUUCCCUUGCACUACACAAAGGGCAGAACACCCUAGCUUGUUCCUUUGGGGCUAGUCCAGUCUAAAAAGCCUAAGACCAAGACUUGACAAUGACAAUCAUCUAAUGUCCAUUUGACCUACAGGCCAGAUGAAGUCAGCCUCCUGUUCUUUGAAUGGCCCAUGAGAAAAUGUUCGUGGGUCCCGGAUCUAAACUAUGAAACAAAGGCAAUGUGAAUCUUCAAUUUUUUUGGUUUGUUUUUAAAUAAACCUAUGCAUUAUGCCUAGGAACUCGCAA